rnacentral:rRNA from 1 species
AUGCAGUCGUGCGAGAAAGUUCUUCGGAUAUGAGUAGAGCGGCGGACGGGUGAGUAACGCGUAGGAAUCUACCUAGUAGAAGGGGAUAGCCCGGGGAAACCCGGAUUAAUACCGUAUACCUCCUUCGGGAGAAAGAAGGCCUCUCUUUGAAGCUUUCGCUACUAGAUGAGCCUGCGUAAGAUUAGCCUGUUGGUGAGGUAAAGGCUCACCAAGGCAACGAUCUUUAGCUGGUCUGAGAGGACGAUCAGCCACAUUGGGACUGAGACACGGCCCAGACUCCUACGGGAGGCAGCAGUGGGGAAUAUUGGACAAUGGGCGCAAGCCUGAUCCAGCCAUACCGCGUGUGUGAAGAAGGCCUUCGGGUUGUAAAGCACUUUAAGCAGGGAGAAAAAGUUAUAAGUUAAUACCUUAUAGCCUUGAUGUUACCUGCAGAAUAAGCACCGGCUAAUUCCGUGCCAGCAGCCGCGGUAAUACGGAAGGUGCAAGCGUUAAUCGGAAUUACUGGGCGUAAAGCGCGCGUAGGUGGUUUGUUAAGUUGGAUGUGAAAGCCCUGGGCUCAACCUAGGAACUGCAUCCAGAACUAACUCACUAGAGUACGAUAGAGGGAGGUAGAAUUCAUAGUGUAGCGGUGGAAUGCGUAGAUAUUAUGAAGAAUACCAGUGGCGAAGGCGGCCUCCUGGAUCUGUACUGACACUGAGGUGCGAAAGCGUGGGUAGCGAACAGGGUUAGAUACCCUGGUAGUCCACGCCGUAAACGAUGACAACUAGCUGUUGGGAGACAAAGUCUUUCAGUGGCGCAGCUAACGCUUUAAGUUGUCCGCCUGGGGAGUACGGCCGCAAGGCUAAAACUCAAAUGAAUUGACGGGGACCCGCACAAGCGGUGGAGCAUGUGGUUUAAUUCGAUG